GAUUUAAAAAAAAUGAUAUUUGCAUAUUUGAGUUUCUUCAUGGCUUGUCUCUUUUAGUAACUGAAUUGCGCUAGUGAAAAAAAAUGGUUUUUGAAGCAGAUGUUGGUGAACAGUGAUGGUAGAACUAUGGAGAUGGAAUAAAUGUUUUACACGAUAUAGGAGCAACUAGAUGAUCAUUUACUCUUUAGGAGCAUUCUUUUCCUCAAUUUACUCUUGAAGUUGUUCAAUCUAUGUUCAUUGUGAUUGACUUGAAUUUGGAUUGCAGAAAGUGAGGAUGGGAGAGUAGUUAGGGAGUUUGCAGUAUUGCUGGAUGCUUGUGAAGCUCAUCUCGACAAGAGUGGCAAUACAGCUUGGGAUGUAGAUGAACACCAUCAGGAUGAAAUUGAACUAGACAACUUCAUUGAAGAUCAAAAGAACAUCGACAUUUGCUCAUGAAGAAGAUGAACCAAAGCAAAAAUUUAAUCGAAGAUCAAGGCAACGUUGCAAUGUAUUUUGUUGUGUUUUGACACUUUUGUGCUGCUUUUUUUUCUUUUUUCUGUUUUGUUCUGUAAUGUUUUACCUCCUUGCAAAGGCAACAUUGAGCCCAAAAUUAUCAAAGUCUGGUUUUAGAACCACAAGUAGACAUGUGAAUAUGUUCAAGAUGAAA